rnacentral:rRNA from 1 species
UGGGGAAUCUUGCACAAUGGGCGAAAGCCUGAUGCAGCCAUGCCGCGUGAGUGAAGAAGGCCUUAGGGUUGUAAAACUCUUUCACCGGUGAAGAUAAUGACGGUAACCGGAGAAGAAGCCCCGGCUAACUCCGUGCCAGCAGCCGCGGUAAUACGGAGGGGGCUAGCGUUGUUCGGAAUCACUGGGCGUAAAGCGCGCGUAGGCGGAUUGGUUAGUUGGGGGUGAAAUCCCGGGGCUCAACUCCGGAACUGCCCUCAAAACUGCCAGUCUUGAGUCCGAGAGAGGUGAGUGGAAUUCCUAGUGUAGAGGUGAAAUUCGUAGAUAUUAGGAAGAACACCAGUGGCGAAGGCGGCUCACUGGCUCGGUACUGACGCUGAGGUGCGAAAGCGUGGGGAGCAAACAGGAUUAGAUACCCCCGUAGUCC